GCCAUGCCGCGUGAAGGAUAGAAGGCCCUCNUGGGUUGUAAACUUCUUUUAUCUGGGACGAAAAAAGGGUAUUCUUACUCACUUGACGGGACCAGAGGAAUAAGCACCGGCUAACUCCGUGCCAGCAGCCGCGGUAAUACGGAGGGUGCAAGCGUUAUCCGGAUUCACUGGGUUUAAAGGGAGCGUAGGUGGGCUGAUAAGUCAGUGGUGAAAUCUCCGGGCUUAACCCGGAAACUGCCAUUGAUACUAUCAGUCUUGAAUUAUCUGGAGGUAAGCGGAAUAUGUCAUGUAGCGGUGAAAUGCUUAGAUAUGACAUAAAACACCAAUUGCGAAGGCAGCUUGCUACGGAUUGAUUGACACUGAGGCUCGAAAGCGUGC
rnacentral:rRNA from 1 species